UACGUAGGGUGCAAGCGUUGUCCGGAAUUAUUGGGCGUAAAGAGCUCGUAGGCGGUCUGUCGCGUCGAAUGUGAAAACCCGGGGCUCAACCCCGGGCCUGCAUUCGAUACGGGCAGACUAGAGUUCGGUAGGGGAGUCUGGAAUUCCUGGUGUAGCGGUGAAAUGCGCAGAUAUCAGGAGGAACACCGGUGGCGAAGGCGGCCCACUGGUCCGGUACUGACGCUGAGGUGCGAAAGCGUGGGGAGCAAACAGG
rnacentral:rRNA from 1 species